rnacentral:tRNA from 1 species
GUGGGUAUAGAAGAAUUGGUAAAUUCAUUAGUUUUCCAAACUGAAAUUUGUGGGUUCGAAUCCCAUUACCCGCU